rnacentral:rRNA from 1 species
CACGCCGUAAACGAUGAUAACUAGCUGUCUGGGCACUUGGUGCUUAGGUGGCGCAGCUAACGCAUUAAGUUAUCCGCCUGGGGAGUACGGCCGCAAGGUUAAAACUCAAAGAAAUUGACGGGGGCCUGCACAAGCGGUGGAGCAUGUGGUUUAAUUCGAAGCAACGCGCAGAACCUUACCAACGUUUGACAUCCUUAUCGCGGAUCGUAGAGAUACUUUCCUUCAGUUCGGCUGGAUAAGUGACAGGUGC